UCUGAUGGGAGUCAGAAGAUUAAAAUCGAAAUGCCUAAUUUAAUUUGUGUUACAUUCACAGUCACUUUGCCGUGUGUUUCAUUAUCAGCGUGCCACAUUCCCCAGUAUGAGAGAUAUCACCACCAUCACCUUCUUCACACAUCUGCACAUCCUUCCUGAUCGUAUUUCAGUCUUUAACGCAUCCCCACAGCUCACCACAUCACCAUGGCAACCACAGGAACCACACCACGGGGAAAAGAUGCAGGAGCUGGCUUUAUUCUACUUCGGCUCCAACUGAUGAUCAGGCCUGGGCCAGUAAAGUUAGCAAAUCCUAGCAAAACAACUGGGUAACAAUUGCUAACGAUAUGUGAAUUCAAAAAUAUAAUAUGUAACAAUUCCAGUAAAAUGUCUGAACAUGACUAGA